UGGAACUGGCGGAAAUGACUGGUAGAAUCCGUGACCAGGGAGAGGAGUCGGUGGAAGAAGAUUGGAAGAAAUUUAAAGAUUAUCUACAGAAACAUUGCAAAAUCAAAGAAUGUUAGAGUGAUGAUGGAUUGAAAUUAAGUGGUUUCUAGCUGCACAGGCGUUAAAGUUAUAUAUAGACUAAGAUUAAGGAUUAGGCAUAAAAAGGUUAAAAGAACGGAAAAUUGGCUAUUAAUAGAUAAGAAUUUAAUGUUAUACCAUAUUAAGAUUAAGGAUUGGGAUUAAAAAAGAGGGAAAGGAAUUGCUGGACAAACAAACUGAAUUGGAAUACAAAAGAGGGAGGUACGAGGAGGUCCAGAAAAUAAGUAAAUUCAAAAGUGGUGAUGAAAAGGUGGUAUUGUUUUUAACUGUUUUUUCUUUUUUCUUUUUUUUUUUGUAUUUUGUAUUGUGUAUUUUUGUAUUGUGUAUUUUUCUUUUUACUUUUAAUUCUCUUUUACUGAUGUGUUCUGUUUAUAUUGGAAACUUUAAUAAAUAUCAUUU